GAUGAACGCUAGCGGCAGGCUUAACACAUGCAAGUCGAGGGGUAUAGUAGCAAUACUAGAGACCGGCGCACGGGUGCGUAACGCGUAUGCAACCUACCUUUUACAGAGGGAUAGCCCCAGAGAAAUUUGGAUUAAUACCUCAUAGUAUAGCAGUUUCGCAUGAAACCACUAUUAAAGUCACAACGGUGAAGAUGAGCAUGCGUCCCAUUAGCUAGUUGGUAAGGUAACGGCUUACCAAGGCAACGAUGGGUAGGGGUCCUGAGAGGGAGAUCCCCCACACUGGUACUGAGACACGGACCAGACUCCUACGGAGGCAGCAGUGA
rnacentral:rRNA from 1 species